AGGGAAUAUUGGACAAUGGGGGCAACCCUGAUCCAGCCAUGCCGCGUGAGUGAAGAAGGCCCUCGGGUUGUAAAGCUCUUUUGUCCGGAGAGAAAAGCAUUCGGUGAAUACCCGGAUGUUCUGACGGUACCGGAAGAAUAAGCACCGGCUAACUUCGUGCCAGCAGCCGCGGUAAUACGCAGGGUGCAAGCGUUACUCGGAAUUACUGGGCGUAAAGCGUGCGUAGGUGGUUGUUUAAGUCUGAUGUGAAAGCCCUGGGCUCAACCUGGGAAUGGCAUUGGAAACUGGGCAGCUAGAGUGCGGUAGAGGGUAGUGGAAUUCCCGGUGUAGCAGUGAAAUGCGUAGAGAUCGGGAGGAACAUCUGUGGCGAAGGCGACUGCCUGGACCAGCACUGACACUGAGGCACGAAAGCGUGGGGAGCAAACA
rnacentral:rRNA from 1 species